rnacentral:rRNA from 1 species
UACGUAGGGUGCGAGCGUUGUCCGGAAUUAUUGGGCGUAAAGGGCUCGUAGGCGGUUUGUCGCGUCGGGAGUGAAAUCCACUGGCUUAACUGGUGGCUUGCUUUCGAUACGGGCAGACUGGAGGUAUGCAGGGGAGAACGGAAUUCCUGGUGUAGCGGUGAAAUGCGCAGAUAUCAGGAGGAACACCGGUGGCGAAGGCGGGUCUCGUGGGCAAGUGAA